UGCCAGCCGCCGCGGUAAUACGAAGGGUGCUAGCGUUGUUCGGAAUUACUGGGCGUAAAGAGCAUGUAGGCGGAUGAAUUAGUCAGAGGUGAAAGCCCCGAGCUCAACUUGGGAACUGCCAUUGAUACUGAUAGACUUGAGUAUAGUUGAAGAGGGCGGAAUGUGUCAUGUAGCGGUGAAAUGCAUAGAUAUGACACAGAACACCGAUAGCGAAGGCAGCUCUCUAAACUAUUACUGACGCUCAGGCACGAAAGCGUGGGUAGCGAACAGGAUUAGAUA
rnacentral:rRNA from 1 species